rnacentral:rRNA from 1 species
AUUGAACGCUGGCGGCAGGCCUAACACAUGCAAGUCGAACGAGUGGCGGACGGGUGAGUAAUGUCUGUGAAACUGCCUGAUGGAGGGGGAUAACUACUGGAAACGGUAGCUAAUACCGCAUACCAUCGGAUGUGCCCAGAUGGGGUUAGCUUUUAGGUGGGGUAACGGCUCACCUAGGCGACGAACCCUAGCUGGUCUGAGGGGAUGAACAGCCACACGGGAACUGAGACACGGGCCAGACUCCGAGGGGAGUCAGCGGAGGGGAAUAUUGGACAAGGGGCGAAAGCCUGAUGAAGCCAUGCGGCGUGUUUGAAGAAGUCCUUCGGGUGUUAAAGCACUUUCAGCGGGGAGGCGUUACCCGCAGAAGAAGCGCCGGCUAACUCCGUGCCAGCAGCCGCGGUAAUAC